AGAAUCAACGCUGGCGGCGUGCCUAACACAUGCAAGUCGCACGAGAAAGGGGCUUCGGCCCUGAGUAAAGUGGCGCACGGGUGAGUAACACGUGAAUAAUCUACCUCUGAGUGGGGAAUAACUGAGAGAAAUCUUAGCUAAUACCGCAUAAUACUUACGAGUCAAAGCAGCAAUGCGCUUGGAGAGGAGUUCGCGGCCGAUUAGUUAGUUGGCGGGUAAUGGCCCACCAAGACGAUGAUCGGUA
rnacentral:rRNA from 1 species